rnacentral:misc_RNA from 1 species
CUGCCCAGCGUGGUGACUAUGGGCAAAACACAUGAGUUCACGUUAUUUUUGGCGUAAACUUGUGGAGGCCUAUGUCCAGCAGUGGACUGUACAGGCUGUAAUGAUGAUGAUGAUGAUGAUGAGUAAAACACAGUUACAAUAAAAAUGAGAAAUAUAUAAAAUGUAAAAUAUCCAUGGUCAAUAAUGUGUGGAUGUGUAUGUGUAAUUUUGUGAGUGUGUAUGC